AUGGUAGAAUGUACGCAGUCCAUACCACUACCUCUAAAGAAGUAGAGAGGCUGUUUCCGAUAGACCCCCGGCUCAAGACACAGGACAAUAUACAAAAAUAUUCAAAGCAUGAAAUAUGAUAAAACUAACAUAGAUACAACAUCCACAAAAGUAAUGUACAAUACCAAACAAAAGACACCAAAACCCUCCUAACUACGGACUACGAUUCAUCCACCCACCUUAUCCCUCUAUCCUAGUAUUUUUCCUCC
rnacentral:lncRNA from 1 species